UACACCAAUUUAACCUCCAUUUUGCUCUUAAAUUUAACCCCAAAAUGGACGAGCGUCGCUCUCGGUUGGCCGAGUUCGACGCUAUCAGGUGCACUUCGAUUAAAAAAAGACAGGAGAUGUGGGAACGGAGGGAGGGGCGGAAUGUCUUACCCUGGUAGUCGGCUCCAGGCGACGGUUCGUUGGGCUUUCACCUGGCGCCUGUUCCGCCAGUCGGUCGUCGGCUCCCGGAGGACGAGGACGACUGGGCCGUGGGAGAUCCAACCAGUUCAGGGUGUACCCCGCCUCCUGCCCGAUGACAGCUGGGAUAGGCUCCAGCACGCCCGCGACCCUAGUGAGGAGAAGCGGCUCGGAAAAUGGAUGGAUGGAUGGAUUUCAUAGAUCAGUAUUCUAUACAGUACAUAUAUGAUAUCUUUUUUUUUUUUUUUUUCAAAUAUUUUUUCUUUAUUUAUAAUCUCUCUAAAACAUUCCAGAUUGACAUAUCAAAAAAUGUCGAUGCAAAAGGGCCAAACCAAGAUGCUCCUUCAGGGAGGAAACCAUUCAUGGCGUACCUAUGAAGGAGAAUGCUGAGGGCAGCACAAGGAACAGGCCGUUGCUGUACAUGGUGAAGGUGACGGCGAAGUACAUGACCAGGCUGCCCACGACAAAGAUGGUGUUGACCGCCGUCCAGUACGACAUCUCCAAACCCAGCUACACACACGCACACACACACCCAGGAAGUAAGAAGCAUAAUCAUCUCAACAAAGGAGGUCAAAGCAUAAGGAGGAUACCUGGAUGGUGACGGCAAAUAGCAGGGAGGUCUGCGUGAGGACAGCGAAGGACUGAUAGUCAGCCACAUCCCUGCCGUCAGCACGCGCCGCCUGGCUGACUGCAGCGUAUGGGAUGAAGAAGAGCACCAGGGAGCUGUAGCAGCUGUGCAGGGCACACUUGAAGAAGGCCGUCUUGCUGAAAUACAGGUUGAGCUGCCCCGGCACGUACAGCUGAGGGUGCUGGAAGCUCCACGCGUCAUUUACGUCCUAUAACCACCAAGUGGAGCGCAAUUUAAGGGUCCCAUAUUUUACCAAACCAACUUUUUCUAGUCUCUAGGAUAUUUUAAACAUGUGAAAUAUGAAUUACUUUAUAUGAAUUACUGAGUUACAGACGUUUUCUACCGAGAGGGCUGAAAUCAGGUCAUUUGAAUUUCUCGAGCUUAUCUACGUCACUAGCGAAGAUCUCUGCCUACCUCUACGCUCCCAAGCCAGCGGUGUCAACAUAAACGUGUGCUCUCACAAGUAGUGAGGGUUGGGUCUUCUACGCGGAGGCAACCAAUCAGAUGAAAGGGUGUAGUCUUAGUCAAAUAUGGACAAAACGGACACGAAACUGGGUCAAACAAGUAUGUCAGAGGAGCCUUUUCUUGACACUAAAAACCAAUAUGGGACCUUUUAAUUGAUUCCUCCACACGCUAAUAAAUUGCAGUGGUACCUCGA